AGGACCAGCGAGGAAAUCCGUGGUACCUAAAUUUUGUGUUUGUGUUAAGACUGUGCCAAAGAAGGCUUUCACUCAGAUGACAUCACAUUUGGACUACUAAUGCUACCCACCCACUCUACAAGGCACAAUGCAUUUCUGGGUAAUUUAAGGUCAAAAAAACCCCAAGAAACUGAUCAAUAUAUGCUGAUCAGACAUUAUGCCAAUCUUGCUGAAACAGGAGUAUUUUGUCUUGCUGGCAGAAAGCUUUUCUAUAUCCUUCAUGGCUUAUAAUGUACUGGAG
rnacentral:lncRNA from 1 species